AUACGCAGCCAUAUCACCCUGCAACUCUCAACUGGCAGCCCUCUGCAGCUCAGCAGGUGUGAGCCUGGUCAGUACCUGGAUGGGAGACCUCCUGGGAAAAACUAAGGUUGCUGCUGGAA
rfam:Lepisosteus oculatus linkage group LG4, whole genome shotgun sequence.